rnacentral:rRNA from 1 species
AACGGGGAAAAGAAACAACAGGGAUUGCCCUAGUAACGGCGAGUGAAGCGGCAACAGCUCAAAUUUGAAAUCUGGCUCUUUUAGAGUCCGAGUUGUAAUUUGCAGAGGGCGCUUUGGCUUUGGCAGCGGUCCAAGUUCCUUGGAACAGGACGUCACAGAGGGUGAGAAUCCCGUACGUGGUCGCUGGCUAUUGCCGUGUAAAGCCCCUUCGACGAGUCGAGUUGUUUGGGAAUGCAGCUCUAAAUGGGAGGUACAUUUCUUCUAAAGCUAAAUAUUGGCCAGAGACCGAUAGCGCACAAGUAGAGUGAUCGAAAGAUGAAAAGCACUUUGGAAAGAGAGUCAAACAGCACGUGAAAUUGUUGAAAGGGAAGCGCUUGCAGCCAGACUUGCUUACAGUUGCUCAUCCGGGUUUUUACCCGGUGCACUCUUCUGUAGGCAGGCCAGCAUCAGUUUGGGCGGUAGGAUAAAGGUCUCUGUCACGUACCUCCUUUCGGGGAGGCCUUAUAGGGGAGACGACAUACUACCAGCCUGGACUGAGGUCCGCGCAUCUGCUAGGAUGCUGGCGUAAUGGCUGUAAGCGGCCCGUCUUGAAACACGGACCAAGGAGUCUAACAUCUAUGCGAGUGUUUGGGUGUCAAGCCCGAGCGCGUAAUGAAAGUGAACGGAGGUGGGAACCCGCAAGGGUGCACCAUCGACCGAUCCUGAUGUCUUCGGAAGGAUUUGAGUAAGAGCAUGGCUGUUGGGACCCGAAAGAUGGUGAACUAUGCUUGAAUAGGGUGAAGCCAGAGGAAACUCUGGUGGAGGCUCGCAGCGGUUCUGACGUGCAAAUCGAUCGUCAAAUUUGGGCAUAGGGGCGAAAGACUAAUCGAACUAUCUAGUAGCUGGUUCCUGCGAGUUCUCCUCCCCAAAAGAAAAAAAGAAAC